CAAACUUGUUGCUGUAAAUAAAAUUAUAUAGUGGCUCGUAGUAAUGGUAUUUUAUAUAAAAAAUCAAAAGCACUAUGUAUAUUGUAAAUGAGCAUCUUCGUUUUAAUAUACUGACGAGUUACGGAGACAUAACAUUAUUCAAAUACAGAAUUGCAUAUCAACUAAUCGGCAAUCUUCUACGAGGUAAGUCUGAAUUUGAGUAGCAAAUGAAUGUGUUGCGAGAUAUAUACUCGUUGUAGUCGUGAUCUCACUGAGUUUAGUAUAUGUGGCUACAUUAUAUUUAUAUAUAGUUUAUGUCUAUUUUACGCUCCAAUAUACAG